CAAGCUUCAAAGGUAGCUUCAAGCUUGGAUCAAGGUGGAGAUUGUUGUCUUGUGAUCCAAACUAGAACUAAAGAAGAAACGAUUACAAGAACAAGAAAGCUAUAGUGAAGUCUGGCGUGGAGUAUAGUAAAGUUUGCUUAUACGUUUGUGAAGUCUAGCUUCGCAAAACAAAAGGAGAAGGGAAAAGACUCUGAAUAGAAGAGAGGUUUCAUUGUACCUAAUUUGUAGGGUUUCUGUUGAGGUGAUAUAUAUAAUAUACCAUAUAUAGGGCUAUAGACUGCUCCAAAGAGAGACAUGGUGACUGGUGAGAAAGAGAGAGCUUGGUGUUGAGUUUUUCUAGUUUUCCUCUUGUGUAUCUCUUCUUCUCUUGUUCAUCUUCUUCUUCCUUUCUCCUUGUAGUUGAG
rnacentral:lncRNA from 1 species